rnacentral:rRNA from 15 species
GCUUACGGCCAUACCACCCUGAAUGCGCCCAAUCUCAGAAGCUAAGCAGGGUCGGGCCUGGUUAGUACUUGGAUGGGAGACCGCCUGGGAAUACCAGGUGCUGUAAGCC